UACGGAGGGGGCUAGCGUUGUUCGGAAUUACUGGGCGUAAAGCGCACGUAGGCGGCUUUGUAAGUUAGAGGUGAAAGCCCGGGGCUCAACUCCGGAAUUGCCUUUAAGACUGCAUCGCUAGAAUUGUGGAGAGGUAAGUGGAAUUCCGAGUGUAGAGGUGAAAUUCGUAGAUAUUCGGAAGAACACCAGUGGCGAAGGCGACUCGCUGGACAAGUAUUGACGCUGAGGUGCGAAAGCGUGGG
rnacentral:rRNA from 1 species